UCAGGGAGGGGUGGGAGGGGGGCGGCUGCGGUAGCAACAGUCGCUGCCGCCGACGCCAGUUGGUUCGGCUUUGCACGGCCAAGGCCAGGCCGGGCGAGCGUCAGGAGGAGGAGGGGGAGCCCCGUGGUCGCAGGAAGGCGGCGAGGGGCGCUCCGCUCGGGCUCCCCCUCCCUCGCGGGACCUGGAAAGGACCCUGAGGGUAGCGCUGCUCGGAGAGGGGGACGGAACCGGGAGAAGAGACGCAGCCCGAGCCUCUCGCGCCUCCUUGGCGAGGACGGCAUCGGCGGCGGCUCCGUAUUGCCUCACUAGAAGCGGGGGCGAUCGUCUUCCUUUCAUCCCUCCCUGCCCCUCACCCGGGCCGAAGGGGGAGCUGCUCCCCCUUGAGGGCAGUGAUGCAGGAGCCGGAGUGAGCGGGAUAACCCAUGCCGUGGGGGUGGGGAUGGAGAUAUGAACCUGUGAGUGUCAGGUGCUGCGUGCCUCCGUGAAGGAGGUGUUGGAGGGGAGCUUCUCCUUGCCGGAGCCACAGGCUUCCCGUCCCUGCCUCCCCCUCCGCCCUGCGUUUUUCUGUCACCCGGCUCCUCCUGGCAAAGCUGUUUUGACGGGGUCUCUGAGCUGUGGAAGAUGGCGACACCAGGGAUGAGCUGGCAGCAGCAUUAUUACAGCGGCAGCUCCUCCACGAGCGCUGGGAAAUUCACCACCACCUCUUCUUCAGCGGCCACUUCUUCGCAGCUGGGCAUGGAAUAUAACCAAGAUCUCCAUCUCAAAAUGAGCAAGAAAAUAGCUCAGCUCACCAAGGUAAUAUACGCAUUGAACACUAAGAAUGAUGAACAUGAAGCUGCUAUCCAAGCCCUCAAGGAUGCUCAUGAAGAAGAAAUCCAACAAAUUAUUGCAGAAACCAGAGAAAAGAUUCUACAGUACAAAAGUAAAGUUUCUGAGGAAAUGGAUUUGAAGAGAAAGAUCCAAGUUUUAGAAGAGUCAUUGGAGGACCAUAAAAAGAUGAAGCAUCAAGCACUAACAGAAUUUGAAGCUUAUAAGGACAGAGUUGAGGAUAUGCAGCUUUGUGCAGAAGCCCAGCAUGUUCAACGUGUAGUGACUAUGUCGCGGGAAGUGGAAGAGAUUAGAAAAAAGUUUGAAGAGCGGUUACGAAGCUUUAUACAAUUACAAGUGCAGUUUGAGAAGGAUAAACGUUCAGCUCUUGAUGAGUUGAAAGCUGCACAUAGGCUUGAGGUUCAAGAACUUAUGAAGACGCAUCAGUGUCAGAAUGCGACUUUAAGUAAGGGACAGGAAAAGUUGGAAGAGCUGCACAGGCAGGAUGUGGGAGAGUUGAAUGCUAAAGUUGAAGAUCUAAGACUGGAAAGGAAAAAGCUCAUUGAGGAGUAUGAAAGUAAACUCAGCAAAGCUCAAUCUUUCUAUGAACAUGAACUUGAUACUAUGAAAAGGUCCCAGUUGUUUACAGCUGAAAGUCUGAAAGUUUGCAAAGAGAAAGAAGUGGAACUAAGAAAAGAAUUUCAAAGCCAAGAAUCUAUUUUACGGAAGAACCUGGGGAAACUAAAGACUGAAUUGCAGAUGGUACAAGAUGAAGCAGGCAGUCUACGAGAAAAGUGCCAGAAGCUUCAGAUAGCAUUAAAUACAGCAGAAAACAAUGUACAGGCUCUCCAAAAACAGCUAGAUGAUGUCAAAGAAGAGGAAAUGUCUUUGUUAAGUAAACACAAAGAAGUCGAAAGUGAGCUAGCUGCUGCUAGGGAACGUUUACAGCAACAGGCCACAGACCUUGUACUAAAAGCCAGUCACAUUGGAAUGCUUCAAGCUACUCAAAUGACCCAGGAAGUUACAAUACGGGAUUUAGAAUCUGAAAAAUCCAGAUUAAGGGAGAAGCUUUCUCAGCUGGAAGAAGAAAGAAAUCUAUUGCAAAGCAAAACCCAAAGUCUAGAUGAAAGACAAAGGCAGCAAAUUCUUGCACUGGAGAAGAAAGUGAAUGAAGCAAGGGAAACCCAAAGAGAAUAUUAUGAGAAAGAGCUGAUAAAACUGCAAGCCAGACUAGAAGGAGAAGCUGCACAGCUAAAUGAGGCUCAUUCUAAGACCUUGGAGGAGUUGGCAUGGAAACAUCAUAAUGCUCUUGAGGCAGCACAUAGCAAUACUAACAAGGAGAAAAAGAAACUGCAAAUGGAGUUGGAGCAGCAUUUUGAAAAAGAGAAGCUACAUUUAGAAGAUGAGAAAAAUCAGCUUCGACAGCAGUUGGAAAACCUGAGGGAAGAACUGACAGCCAAGCUGACUGUAUCCAAUCAGGAGGUGUGUCGUCUACAAGAUUUAGUAAGGAAAAGUGAACAAGGCCUUGGUACUGCAGAAGGGCAUAUCUCCACUCUCCAGGAAAACCAAGAAAUACUACAAAAAGAAGUAGAAUUAACCAGAACAAGAUUGAGGGAAGCCACAGAUUCUCUGUAUAAUGUUGAGGGGGAAUUAGAACAGGAAAGACAGCAACAUGAGGCCAUGAUUGUAGCCAUGAGAGAAGAGGAGAAAUUCAAAGUUGAUAGAAUGGCCCAUGAUCUGGAAAUUAAAUGGACAGAAAACCUUCGGCAAGAAUGUAGUAAACUUCGGGAAGAGCUGAGGCUUCAGCAUGAAGAAGAUAAAAAGUCAGCAAUGACUCAACUUUUGCAGCUGAAAGAGAGGGAAAAAAAUGCUGCCAGAGAUAGCUGGCAAAAGAAAGUAGAAGAUCUGUUGGAUCAGAUCUCCCUACUGAAGCAGAAUCUAGAAAUGCAGCUGUCUCAGUCUCAGACCUCAAUGCAACAACUGCAGGCACAGUUUAGUCAGGAACGACAGAGGCUUGCCCAAGAAAUUGAAGAACUAGAAGAAGAGCAUGAGCAAAGAAAUAAGUCCUUGAAAGAAGCACACAUGCUUGCAUUUCAAGCUAUGGAAGAAACAAAAGAACAAGAUCAAAAGGAGCUUGAGGAACGUUUGCAGCAAAGGCAUUCCGAGGAACUUCAGGCUCUAAAAGAAGCCCACAAACAAGCUAUGGAAGCUUUCAAACUAGAAAUGGAACAGGAACUACAGACUCUUCGUUUUGAACUAGAAGAUGAGGGGAAAGCUAUGCUAGCAUCUUUGCGCUCAGAACUAAAUCAUCAGCAUGCAGCAGCAAUUGAUCAGCUAAGGCAUAACCAUCAACAAGAACUGACAGCAGCUAAAAUGGAACUUGAAAGAAGCAUAGAGCUCAACAGGCAACAGGAAAAUGAAUUUAUGUGCCGGAUAUCGGAUCUGCAGAAUGAACUGAGACAUCGAGACCACCAUAUAUCUGAACUGGAUAAGGAGAUACUUGCACUGCAUGAAAACAUAAGUGCGCUAACCAAGGAACUGGAGUUUAAAGGGAAGGAAGUGCUCAGAAUACGUAGUGAAUCUACCCAACAUAUUAGGCUGUAUGAACAAGAUUUAAACAAGAAACACGAGCGAGAGCGGGAUGUUAUGACAGCAGACCACAUCAGAGAGAAACAAAGCUUGCUGGCAGAUUUUAAUAAGACCCAGGAGCUGCUAAAGGAAAUUAAUUCAGCUUUGCAAGUUUCUUUAGAAGAAAUGGAAGAAAAAUAUCAAAACCGAGAAUCCAGACCAGAAGACUUACAGCUUAUUGCCGAAUUGAAAGACCUGAUUGCUGAGAGGGAUCAGCUAAUAAAGAAACUGAUUGAUGACAAGAAAUUCUAUCAACUGGAAUUAGUCAAUAGGGAAACUAACUUCAACAAAGUAUUUAAUGCAAGUCCUAAUGUUGGUGUUAUUAAUCCUCUGGUGAAGCAAAAGAAGAAGAAUGAUAAAUCAGCAAACAGGUUUGUGAGUGUCCCCAAUCUAAGUGCUCUGGAAUCUAGUGGAGUGGGCAAUGGACAUCCUAACCGUCUGGACCCUAUUCCUAAUUCACCCAUCCACGAUAUUGAGUUCAACAGCAGCAGACCACUUCCACAGCCAAUACCACCCAAAGAGCCCAAGACGUUUUUGAGGCAUCAUUAACAUGCAUGUGCAUGAAUUCGUGAAUUGUGACGCUGGAGUUUCCAUUGCAAAUUAUUUCGUGCCUUGUAUUGCCAAAAUUUCUUCCCUCUUCAGACUGAAGCUUCUCCAGUGGCUUCACCAGAUCCCCAGCGCCAGGAAUGGUUUGCCCGUUACUUCACAUUCUGAGAGAUUAUUUUUGUGUGUGGCACAGCGUAGUGUGGAAUGUUCAUAAGAGCAUGACCUUAAACUAAACCCUUACGUGAACAAGCUUUCCUGUAAUAUGUCAAACACUGUGAAUGAGAAAGUAUUUGUCUCUGAUUUGAAAAUGCACUGUAUUUUAUGUGAUAUUUGUUGGAAUCACUUGACAUGGUAAACAAAUAUGCUUAAUGACACUUAUUUUUAUUUAAAAUGGAAGUCUUUAAACUUUGUAAUUACUGCAUAAUAAAUUUUCAUAGAAGAAACUACUUAAUGCUCCCCCCCUUCCUAUACAUAUGUAUUUUCUUUGUUUUCAGGAAAAGCUUUCCUGCUCCUAUCUCCCUUCUGAAAUGCAAUCAGUUGCAUGGUUUAUUGUAUAUCCAAAUAAACUGUCUACAGUUUUUUUUUUUUUUUAAAUCAGACUGUUGCAAGAUAUGUUUAAACCCUUUUUUCUUUAGUUAUCUUGUAGAAACUCUGAAAAUUGUGUUUAUUCUAAAAGUGGUGAAGAAUGCAAAAUAAAUAAGUCUAUAGUAGCAUAGCUGGUGGCCUUUAGAGCUGAGUGAAUUUUGUUAAAACCAUAGUAACAAAAAUGGCAUCCUUAUUUCUUGUCUACAACUGAUCUGCCCUCUAGUAAUUAUGAUAACUAUAUUUUAAUGUUGAAUUUCAUCACAACUUUUGUCAUAAAUGUUUUAUAAAUACCUAUAAAGACAAUGCUCUUUAGAACAUUUGAGGUACUAUGUAUUGCUGUAUAAAUGAAAAAUCAUUUAUGGAAAUCUGCAUUUUGAGGACAUAAUUAUCCUUUGGGCAAAACUCAGGCUUUACAAAAAUAGUGCUAAACUAAUUAUGCAUAAUAAAGCAUGUAAAUCUUUCAUUAAAGUUCCAGCAUACUUAAUUUACUAAAAACAAUGUUUCUUUUUCCACAAUGAAAUUAACCCAGGGACCACAUGACCUUUUUCCAUAUGGAAAGUGAGCCUGAUUUUCCACUCUAUUACACCUGUCUUACAGUUGUGCAAGUCCUCUGGCAGAAAAGAUGUAAUAUGCUGGCAAAUCUGGUUUACAUACUUCUGUUGAUGUUGUUGUUAAUUCCAAGAUUACCACAAUGUAACCAACACUGGUAAUCUCAGGGAGAAAUUUUUUGUUUUAUGAAUGUACUUUGAAACCUGAUCUUUGUAUCUUUAAGGGGGUGGGGGUGCUUGAUUAUUUCAAGUAAGGUUUUUAUCCUUAGAGAAAUAUAUAAUAAUAUUUCUGCUGAUGCCGUGACUGCGUCUUCCCAUUAUGCAAAAGCAUAAUUAACCAAUCAAAGAUACCAUCACUAGUUAACAACAGUAAGUUUUAUAUGUAGCAUAUGUAUAAAAGAAUAAUUUGUAUGUUUUCAUAUAAAAUAUAAAAUAUUCUAAAUCAAAACUUUAGAAAUGUAUCUCCUGUAUAAUCAGCCUGACAAUGUUCCAACAUUCUGCUGCUAAUCUGAAGCAGCAUUUGGCAGAUACUCUAUGGUUGAUGGAAUUUAACUGUAGGUAUAUGCAGCCUUUACAUUAGAAGAAAGCCAUAUUGAGUCGAAGUCAGAUUUCUUGGCUGUUAUCUGAAAUAAAACACACUGGAUAAUUUUGAUAUGA